AAACCAGUUGCUAGUUAAAGGAGCAGCGGAUCGCGCAUCCGUAAGAAUCAGCUCUAACCAAACAGCAAACGCGUUGGCCAGAGGGUGACUUAUUCCCCCAUAGCAACCCCUGGUAGGUGAGCUGCCUGCAGAAGUGCUGUCUUACCUUGAGCACGUAAGAUCAGGGAGAGAGGCUCGCUGGCUCCCACGGAGAGGAUCGGGGAAGGGCUGUGAUCCGCUGCUGGCAAGGCUUAUUUGACAAGGAAGUUCCUGCGCUGCCUGUCCUCUGAGCAUCCAGAGGCCCCUUUUGAGACUUCGGCAGCAUUAAAGUAAAUCCAGCAACGGGGAGGAUUCGCGUGGACUUGCUUGUGGAGACAGGAACCUCAGAACCAGCCUGGGUCUUCCAGCAUCUGCUUAUGUAACGUAGGAUUUCAGAGCUCUCUGCCCUCUGGUUAUUUUCGGUAUUUAAAACACUCUCAUUCCUAACAAUCGGAAAACGUCUUGGUGCCACAGUUCUUUCUCAGUGUGUCUUAAACAUUAAGAGAGGAUUCAACCAACAAGUGGCUAAAGGAUCAGUCUGAAAUUACUAAGAAAUGCAUUCAGAGAAAGAAAAACAAGCUCCUUUCGCUGCUGAGUGGUGACUCACUUCCUAGCCCAAGCCUGAUUUUUGCCACCAAAGGAAUUAAAGCAUUUUAAAAGAGAACCUGAGACUUGGGGUGGGAGAUACAGUACCGGGAGGGGGAAAAGGCGGGAAUGGGAGGGGGGAGGGAUGGGUAGGCUGGAAAUAAUAAAGGAACGAACUUGUACUGAAUAUGUAUAUAUGUACUUCAUUCAGUGUUCACCGCAACCUUAUGAGGUAGGUAUGAUUCAUAUUGUGCAGAUUUAUUUAUUUUUUUUUUAAUUUAAAGAAAGGCAUCUCUAAGGGUUUAAAUAACUAGCUCAAGCUAGCGAGAGGGGGAGCCACAGCUAGCGAGCUUGCAAACCUUAGGCACUCUUCAGUACACCAGGCUGCCGUAUAGAACACCUAGGUUCGUCUCAGGUUAGAUCCUGAUGUCAUUGGCUGGUAGCAGGCUCCAAGAGAAGGAAACUUGAUGGUGAAGAGCAGAAUUACUCAAACUUAGCACUACUGAAACUUUCGGGAGAAUAUUUCUCUGUUGUAGGGACCUCUCCUGUGCACUGUAGAAUGUUAAGCAGUGUCCGUGGCCUCUACCCACCAGAUGCCAGUAGCAGUACCCACUCCGCACUCGCCACCCAGCUGUGAAAAUAAAAAAUGUCUCUAGAUUUAGCCAAAUGUCG
rnacentral:lncRNA from 10 species